AAGAUUGAUGAUGAUGAUUUAAUCUUGCAGAUUCUUUCUGGACUCGACAACGACUACAACCCGUUCGUGUCUGCAAUCUCGGCCACAACUGCUCGAGGGCACCCCAUCUCUCUCGGUGACCUGUACGGGCAGCUUCUGGCGGCUGAGA
rfam:Triticum aestivum genome assembly, contig: Triticum_aestivum_CS42_TGACv1_scaffold_472150_6AL